UUGAUGGGAUACCUAAAUUUCCCAUGGCAAACUGCUCAGUAACACAUGAUCAACUUACCCUAUAGAGAAAAAUAACCUCGGGAAACUGAGGAUAAUAUUUCAUAGUUGAAUAGGCUUGGAAAAGUUUUUCAAUAAAAGGGAUAAAAAAAAUGGUUUUUAUCUGCUAUAGGAUAGGAUCGUGGACGAUUAUGGUUGUUGGUGAGGUAACGGCUCACCAAGCCGAUAAUCGAUAGGGGCCGUGAGAGCGGGAGCCCCGAGAUGGGUACUGAGACAACGACCCAGGCCUUACGAGGCGCAGCAGGCGCGGAACCUCCGCAAUACACGAAAGUGUGACGGGGUUACCCAAAGUGUUCAAUUCUGAACUGUGGUAGGUGAGUAAUGUUCCCUACUAGAAAGGAGAGGGCAAGGCUGGUGCCAGCCGCCGCGGUAAAACCAGCUCUUCAAGUGGUCGGGAUAAUUAUUGGGCUUAAAGUGUCCGUAGCCGGUUUAGUAAGUUCCUGGUAAAAUCGGGUAGCUUAACUAUCCAUAUGCUAGGAAUACUGCUAUACUAGAGGGCGGGAGAGGUCUGAGGUACUACAGGGGUAGGGGUGAAAUCUUAUAAUCCUUGUAGGACCACCAGUGGCGAAGGCGUCAGACUGGAACGCGCCUGACGGUGAGGGACGAAAGCCAGGGGAGCGAACCGGAUUAGAUACCCGGGUAGUCCUGGCCGUAAACGAUGCAUACUAGGUGAUGGUACGGCCAUGAGCCGUAUCAGUGCCGUAGGGAAACCGUUAAGUGUGCCGCCUGGGAAGUACGGUCGCAAGGCUAA
rnacentral:rRNA from 1 species